GCGGCUCGAGCGGCGCCCGGGAACGGCGUCCUCGGCUGUGCCGCCUGGUACUGCACGGGGUCAGCGGGCUUGGAGAAACCUCUGAGACCGUCCGUCCCACGUAUGACUGAACCCUUCCAUGUCAACCAGACCCGUGGUUCACCUUGUGUAAUUGUUUGGCUUGUCUGCUGUUUGUGAUGUACUAAAUCUGUACUUUGGGGGAUUUUUAUGGAACGCAGAGCUUAUUGCAACAGACGUGUGAUACAGCUUAUUUGCUUUUUUCCUGCAUCCCGGACAUUUUCCAUGUGGCAGCGAAGCAGAGGUGGACUGGAUCUGUGAUAAGGAUUGUGGCUAUUCCUGGUGCUGUGCGAAUGCACUGUUGAAAGCAGUGCUUUGCUGAAGUCUUCCUGUUCUGCCUUGCUUGCCAGAGAAGCAGGCACCCUAGAAGAACAAUUACAGUUGUUCAUUCUGAGUAUCUUCAGAUAAAUUUGAACUUUGAAAUCUUUCUUCUAUCUGGAAAGAAAUUAGUCCCCCUCAAGUAAGAUGAAAUGGGCAUACUUAAUUUCCGGUUAAAACUGAAGCAUGCAAUUUACAAAACAUUCUUGUUCCUUUCUCUUUUUUAUCAGCAAAUCUUGAAGAAGAAAAAAAAAAAGAGAGAGAAAAGUCUGGUGUUUAAAAUGUGGCAGUUUUCCGAAUCUAAGUAAUGUCAUUGGUGACUUUAAAAAUAUAUAUAUACUCUGUGUGUCUGUGAGAGUUGAGGAUGCAGCUGACCUGAGCUGAAUUCAAUUACCUUAAGGUUUUGAACUUCCUUAUGUCCUGUGUUACUUGUCCCUCUUAAUUGUCUCCUUUCAUUGAAGGAACGA